rnacentral:lncRNA from 1 species
GAUCAUACAACUAGUGUCACGUCACUACCUACUUUUUGGGGAUUUUUGUGUGCAGAUCUCAAUCAAUAUUUAUCUUAGUUUCUUACACCAUGUGUAGCUAAUAAUGGCAGAAUUGAAGAUAUUUGGUUGCGAUGGCUGCUAGCUACCUUAAAAGACACGGCAUUUGAAUGGUACAACCACCAACAAGUGGGUCAAUUUUUGAAUUGGGAAGCAUUCAAGAAUGCAUUUUUAUCUCAUUUUUGGCCAAUUGGUUUUGAAGACCGCCUUCGGGAGAGGUUAAUGAACAGCAAAAUGAUCCUAGCACAGGCGAUGGAAUUGUACCAUGGCUGAGUGGUUGAUACACUCAGUAAGUGGCCGAAUCACCAAAUAUCGGAGGCAUUUAUCUUAUCCAUAUUAAUCAAUGGUUUACAUCCACCAGAGCUAAAAAUAUUUGUAAAGGAAGCUCAAUCCGUUACGAUGGCUACGUCCCUUAAUAGAGCCAAGGUUUGGGAGGAAUGCCAUUAUGAUCAGUUUUUAACUACGGGAGCCACGAUGAUUCCAGUUCAAGGUAGAUAUCAAAAUCCGACUUGGAAUGAAUCAGUGGGUAAUUAUCCAUGGAUGUUAGAAAGAGGGACCAAUUCCAAUACCAAUAUUCAAAGACCAGUUAAUGUCACCCCAUUGUAAGCUAUACCACCGAACAUAACAAUAGUAUAUACUCCAUAUUUUUCAUAUCAACUACAAGCGUUAACUACGACAAAGAUACCAAUAAUGCUAGCCCUAAAAGAUUCCAAUGAAACCUUGUUAUUGAAUUUGAUGAAGAAAAUGGAAGAAAUGGCCGUCAAUAUAGCCAAAACUAAGGAGAAGAAGCAAAAGCCUACCAAUACUAGGACCAAUGUAUGGUGGAGUAAUUGUAAGGGCCAUGGUCAUUCUGUAACAGAAUGCCCCUCACCCUCACAAAUAAUGGAUCAAUGUACAUUUUGCAAAAGAAAGCACCUAACAGCAAAUUGUUGGAAUUGGCAAAGACAACAACAAUAAUUUAGUAAUUAGACCAUAAUCCCACGAAUCUAGUGGGACAUCAAUCAAGUACAAAUGAGAAAUACAUUAGGAUGGAAUGAAAAUCGAUUUAAUUGAAAAAAUUGAGCAUUCAAUAACUUUUAAAGUUCCAAUUUUAAUCAAGGGUCUGCAUCAAACCCCCAGAACUAAGGGUAAGGAGUAGCAGAGAUAUCAGCAAUAUGCUCUACCGACAUCAUCAAACCAAGUUGCUUCAGUACCAACAGGACAACCAGGAUCAUUUUCUAAUCCUAUAUGGAACAAGCCUAGUACGUAUAUACUGGUGGAGACACCUAAUAUGCCUGAUGGGGGUGCAAGAAGACCACUUCGUAGUUUUCGUUGCAGACAGAUUGGUCAUUAUGCUAAUGAAUGACUCAAUCCUAGAGCUAGUGAUGAUUAUGUACCAAUUUGAGGAAAUUGUAAGUAGUCGGGGCAUACAUAUCAGCAAUCUAAUGCUCCGUUCAAUGUCAAUAAUCGAGAUCAAUAGAUCCAAAGUCAAAAAAAAUUUGAGGAGAUAAAUCGAGGUCCUCAAGAUUCUCUUAUAAAUCAGGUGGAAUGUGUCCAAGCCAUUCUUACCCGAAGUCAGCAAAAGGAAAAAGGACCAAUUCAACAUUUGGGUAAUCCCAAUGCAAAAGACUAAUUUGAGCUAAUUAGGCGACCACCCAAUCCAGGUCCUGUUAUGGACUUCGUACCUAGAAUGAGACCUGACUCGGUGGCACAACUCAAUGAGGUCCCAAUUAUGGAGGCUUCGAUUUUGUUCCAAGCAAUUCUGAUCUCUACGCAAUUUCAAGAAACAUCCUAUUCAUUGAAAGAUCCUCUCGAGGGCGAGAAUUCCAAAGAAGCUCCAGCUGCUGUUUCAAUUCCGAGUCCAAGACAGAAGAAUAUCUUACCUCACAGAGUUAAAUUCAAACCAAUGAAAAGAAAGAUGGCAUUGGAAAUUAUCCUAAAUAUGGAACCCUAUGAUAUUUUGAAGGAUAUGGAUGCUAUUUGACCUUUUAUUUCUAUGAAGCAACUUCUAGCGGUUGCACCAGAGUACCGUUCUACAUUGAAUUCAUCGUUAACAUGGCAUAGGCACUGUAAUAAAGAAGUUUGUGAAGUCAGUUUGAACCCUGAUCCAAGUGCACCAACCAUCAAUGUUUCGAUUGACGGUGUUAUGAUCUUGGGUGUUUAGGUUGAUGGUGGUUCCAACAUCAAUUUAAUGAACGCUGAUACAAUAGAUGCUUUAGAUUUGGAAUACUUAGUAUCCACGACAUUUGUAUUACAGAUGGCAGAUCAUAGCCGAGUUAAAUCAAUGGGUAUCUUAUGGAGUGUUCAAAUUAUAAUUGCCUAUAUUGCAUAUGAAAUCGACUAUAUCGUCUUUUAGUUAUAAUGUUCGACUUUAUCAUAUCCAAUUUUAUUGGGAUGACCCUGGCUUUAUCAAGCAAAGGCCAAGAAGGAUUAGGGUCGAGGUACUUUGACAAUUGGCAAGGGCGGAGACAAAAUGGUGUUACAAAUGUACCCAGUAUACUAUCACGGGGAGUCUCAAUUGCCAGCAUCUGAAUUAACGUCGGACGAUGAGCUUAGCUCCGAUGAUGACGUAGUAGCACCAAUUACGAAGGUGCCCAUGGAGGUAGCACUACACCCUAGAGUGGUGUACUAAUGUGGAGGUCUAAGGAAGUACUUGAUAUACCUAACGAACUUGAAAAACUUGAAUUAUGUUAAUAUUGAUUGGAUGACGAAGUAUGAUGUGCACCAUGUUAGUGCCCUAGACAAAGGAUUCAGUACUUCAUACAUGUCAAACUUAUGGACAGACUUUAAAUCGGCGUGGGGGUUGAAACAGAACAUCACUGUUGCACCUUUAUGUCAAACUAUCAACUUGGCGACCAUAACAGAACCUCGGACAAUUAAGGUCUACAAAGGUAUUAAGGAACAAGAAUUGACAUGCUGGACCGAAUUUUUCUUGCAUCAUAAAUCCGCUUAUGCUUGGACUUAUGAUGAUUUAAAAGGUAUUUCCGUUGAACUCUGUGAGCAUUAUAUCAUUUUAGAGGAGAACGCUAAACUGGUAUGACAGAGGCAACAUUGCCUUAAUCCUAAAUAUUCCCUCAUGGUUAAGGAGGAAUUGGACAAGCUUCUUGCUGUUGGUUUUAUUUACCCAGUAUCAAAUAGUGAGUGGAUUUCUUCAAUCAUGAUGGUGUCGAAAAAGAAUGGAAAAAUCUGAAUUUGUCAAGAUUCUCGAAAACUUAAUACGGACACCAAAAAAGAUUACUUCCCAUUGCCCUUCAUGAAUAGUAUAUUGGACGCUGUAGUAGGUAAUGAAUGUUAUUUGUUCCUAGAUGGAUUUUUCGGAUAUAAUCAGAUUCAAAUUGUAAUAGAAGACUAGCUCAAGACGACCUUUACUAUGGAUUGGGGCACAUUUGCUUAUCACGUGAUGCCUUUUGGGUUAUGUAACAUCCCAGCCACGUUUCAGAGAGUAAUAACUCAGGCCUUCUAAGACUAUCUCCGGCUAUUUAUGGCGAUCUUUUUAGAUGACUUCUGUGCAUUCAGUACAAAACAAGAUCAUCUUAAUUGUCUCGGCAAAUGCUUGGCUCAGUGCACUAAGUUUGGGAUAUUGUUGAACUCGGAUAAGUCUCAAUUCAGUGUUCCGUGAGAAAAAUUAUUGAGACAUAUUGUCUCUAGCUGUGGUAUUGCUAUGGAUCCGGACAAAGUGACACAUAUAAUGAACUUGCCAAGACUAGAGAUGGUCUCCGGUGUUUGAGGGUUCGUCAGCCAUGUCAGUUAUUAUCGAUGAUUUAUUUGUUUAUUUAUAGUUAUUUAUCAACUUUUAACGAACUUACUGAAGAAACCUCCGUUAGAUGGAACUAGUCCCAUCUAGACCAUGGAGUGUACCAUGGCCUUUGAAGCAUUGAAGUCAAAAUUGGUCUUUGCACCAAUAUUGGUGGUCCCUCGUUGGACCGAGCCUUUUCAUGUGUAUGUUGAUGCAUCCAAUGUGGCUAUUGGAUCGGUGCUAAGUCAGAAGGAUGAUCAAGAUCUAGAUCAUCCUAUCUAUUAUGUUAGUUGGUAAUUGGUGGCUGCCGAACGUAAUUACACUACUACUGAAUGAGAAGCAUUAGGUAUAAUAUAUUCAGUUCAAAAAUUUCGGCACUAUUUGCUUGGGUAUCCAUUUGUCUUUUAUGUCGAUCAUGAUGCCCUUAAAUAUAUGAUUAAUAAGCCUCAAUUGAGUGGGCGCAUUGCUCGAUGGAUGUUAUUACUUCAAGAAUUUAAUUUUACUAUCAAUGUAUGACCAAGAAAGAAACAUGUCAAUGCGGAUCACUUGUCCCGAUUGUCCAAUAUCUUGGGUAAUGAGCCUAUUAAUGAUGCACUUCCUGACGCACAGUUAUUUGCCGUCAAAGUGAUUACAACUGACUAUAGUGCAUUGAUUCAAUAUCUGACAUUUCAGACAUUCCCACCUACAUAUAGUGAGAAAUUCAAAAAACGACUGAUUUUAAAAAGUGCACCAUAUACAAUGAUAGAAGAUGCCUUAUAUAAGCAAGGUCGAGAUGGAAUUCUACGCCAUUGCAUCUUUUUCAGUGAAGUAUAAUCGAUAUUAGAGGGAUGUCAUUUGGAUAGUUGUUGUGGACAUUUUGCGGGAGACAGUACUGCUUGCAAGGCUUUAAUGGUCGGAUAUUAGUGGCCCACAAUGUUUUCUGAUGCGCACCAAUUUAUUCAUCGUUGUGAUCCCUGUCAACAAAUUGGUCGACCUACGGAUACUUCUGCGAUGCCGUUAGUACCAAUCUUGGCACAGGCACCAUUUGAGAAAUGGGGAAUUGAUUUUAUUGGAUCCAUUACACCAGCAUCGAGAUAUGGACAAAAGCGGUAUAUUUUAGUCGCCACGGACUAUGUAACCAAAUGGAUAGAGGCUAUUGCUACCUGCAAUGAUAAUGCCAGUACAGUGGCGACUUUUCUAUAUGAGAAUAUUAUUACUUGAUUUGGGUGUCAAAAGGAAUUGGUUAGCGAUUGUGGCACCGAUUUCAUCAAUGCUACCAUAGCAGCCUUGAUGAACCCAUACAAAAUUAAGCACAGGAAAACAACACCAUAUCAUCCUCGAGCAAAUGGACAGACGAAAAAGACCAAUGGUAUUCUAUGUAAGAUUUUAACCAAAAUAAUUUUGGUGGGGGAAUGGAUUGGGAUACUAAAUUAUUUACGGCCUUGUGGGCGUAUUGUACUGCAUAUAAAGUGACUACCAAUUCCACACCAUUCCAAUUGGUGUAUGGACAAGAAGCAAUAUUACCAACUGAAUUAGAAGUUCAGAGUUUGCGCAUUGCGUUGUGUAGAAUGGAUAAAUUAGUUUGUGCUAAAAUUUUGACUUUAGUAGAUUAGAAUCGGUAUUGAUGAAAUCAAGAAACCAAUAGUCAUGUGAAAGGUUCCAAGAUACAGUUAACUGACAAAAACCGGUUGGAAUCUGAAAAAGGGUAUAGUAGGAGAAAGAUUGAUUAGAUUAGGGCCAGACUUGUGAGUCUUAGAGCCGGGGUAUGCUUGGGUGCUACCUCUAUUUUUUCUAUUUCUUUCCUUUUGUAUUUUGAUGUUUUGUUGUGUUUAUAAAGAGAAAUUUAUGAGAAUUGUGUGUUGACCACAGUGUUACAGUAAAUGCUGUAUUGGACCAGAAUUGGUUCUAUACAUUGCACAUGAAAUAGUGUUAUAGAUUGAGAGAUGAUAGUUUGAAAAUGAUUGAAUGACCAUUGAGUUGGAAAAUAUAAAUGAAGUUAGAAUUACAGAGAAUUGAUAAGAAAUUGAGAAUGUUGUAAUUGAAGUUAUUAAAUUAGACAUGGUACUGAAGAAUUAAUAUUAUACAAUUCAGUGAUUGGAAAUUAACUUAUUGAAUAUCAAAUGAUUAUAUUCAAUUAAUGGUGACCUUAACAAUUAACUCAUGCGACAGUUCUUUCCCUUGUGUUUGAACCGAUUUAAACUAUACUUAAUUCAGAAAUUGUGGCAAUUCGGAUUUCUUGACUACAUUUUGGCGCCACUGCCGGGGAAAGACAACAGUUAUGAGUGUUGAGCAUUAAUUGAGAAAUUUGAUAUUGAAUGAGGAGUUGUAAGAUUGGAGAAUUGUGGUAAUUAUGAAAUGAUUAAGAAAGAAGGAGAUUAUGAAAUAAAAGAGAAAUGAUGUUAUGAUACAUCAACAUGAUUUUGAUUAUGAAAAACGUAUUAAACAAAAAUGAGACCGACAAUUGAGAUUGGCCGCAAGAAAUGUAAACCGUAUUGUGGGAGAAGUAUUACAGAAAAGGAGGAGACGACAGAGUUGGAUUAAACCGUGGUUGCAUGCAUGUCGACAUAUACGAUCAUAUUCAGUUCCUGAGAAGGAGGCAAUAUUUCAGAAUUACAUUCCUUUAUCUAAAUUACCUCUUUCAUUGGUAGGAGACUCUUCUAGUUUAAUAGUUAAGUUUGUCAAACGAUUGGUAAAGAAAAGAAUAUUUACCAAAGAAUUCGGCUCAUUAUUUCAAAGAACAUUAUUGCCAAAUAAAUUUAAACAAUUGGAGUUACCUGCUUAGGUAUUAAGUAGCCUGGUGGAAGAGAUUAUUAAAGACAUUGAACGAAUUACGGAAUCAGAAACUAUCACACUUCCGAUUUUACCACCAAUUGUAUUAUUACCAAUGGCAUCGGGAGGUAUACCCAGUGUUCCUACAGGACCACCGGUACCACCAAUAGGACCAAUUGGACGAGCAGUACCAAUUUCUGUUCCAAUGGGCCAAGUAGGAGAUCGAACUACAAGUAUAGCACCACUACCAAUUUUUAGCGGAUGGCCCGGUGCUGAUCCAGAUCAACAUCUAUCCCAAUUUUUGACCGCUUGUGUAGCCAAUAAUGGACGAACAGAAGAUGUGUGGUUAAGAUGGUUACCUGCAACUUUGAAGGAUACCGCUUUCGAAUGGUAUAAUCGACAACCAGCGGGUUCGUUUCCAAAUUGGGAAGCUUUAAGAGCUACUUUUCUUCUUCAUUUUAGACCAAUCGGAUAUGAAGACCGAUUGAGAGAACAAUUAAUGCGAAGUCAUAUGAUACCAGGAGAGGCUGUGGAGUCAUAUUAUGGGCGAGUAGCUGACAUAAUUCGCCGUUGGCCCAAUAAUCAUUUACCUGAAAAUUUCAUUUUAUCAAUAUUGAUCAAUGGGCUCUACCCACCAGAAUUGAAAAUAUUUGUUAAGGAAAAUCAACCCGCCACAGUUGCAUUAUCGCUUGUUAGAGCCAAAGUGUGGGAGGAAUGUCAAUAUGACCAAAUCCUAAAUUCAAACCCGACACUAAUUCCUACUCAAGGAUCUUCUAAGUUUCCAAAUUGGAGUAAUUUAGCCAAUAGUAUUACUGGAGCAAUGGCACCUGCGACCCAUUCUACCGUACCAAUCUAACGGGUACUUAACCCAGUUCCAUUACAAGCUGUACCAUCUCCGAUGGCGAGCACUUACCCUCAAUUUGCACCGUAUCAACCGCCUGGCGUUAAUACGCAGGAAUUACCUAUGUUACCAGGUUCGAAAGAAACCAACGAAACGUUGUUAUUGAAUUUAAUCAAGAAAAUGGAAGAGUUGGCAAUAAAUAUGGCCAAAGAAAAAGAGAAACGACCAAAGCAGACCAAUUUCCGAGCCAAUGUAUGGUGUACCAAUUGUAAGGGACAAGGUCAUAUGGUUCAAGAUUGUCCUUCACCAGGAAACAUGAAAAUUCAAUGUAUGAAUUGUGGGGGGAAGCAUCCGACUAAUAACUAUUGGUAUUUGUCAAAUCCACAUUUUAAUAAUACCAUGUCACCACCAAUGUCAUGGGAUGUAAAUCAAAUUCAAAGAAGCAACCGUAAUGGAUGGAAUGGUAAUCGAUUUAAUAAUCAAAACCGCAAUUAUUCUAAUAACCAAAAUUUUGAACCUAACUCUCAGAAGUUCCACCCAAAUCAACGAAAUUAUCAAGGAAAUAACGAGUUUAUGCCCGAGCCUUCCUUACAAACGGGUCAACUAGGAUCAUUUACUCAGGCUACUUGGAACAUACCAAGUUGUUACAUCCCAAUUGAAACUUCCAAUAUACCUAGUGGGACGAGAUGAAAACCAGUUCGUUGUUUUCGAUGUCGCCAGUAUGGGCACUAUGCGAAUGAAUGUUCUAACUCUAGUGCUUCAGAAGAAUAUGCACCAAUUUGUGGAAAUUAUAAACAAUCGGGACAUACAACAGCCCAAUGUAACGCACCUUUUAAUUUUAAUAAUCGCAAUCAGCAGGUUCAAAUUCAAAGUUCUCAAGAGGAUACCAAUCCAGUUCUUCAAGACUCUCCAGUUAAUCAUAUUGAAGUAGUCCAAGCAAUACAAACUCGAGGUCAACGGUACCUUCAAUCAAUUCUUAAAAAGGAUAAAAUUAUUGAAGAACAACCUGAACCAAUUCAAAAGAAGGCGACUAUAUUUGCAAAACCAGUGAACCAAUUGCGACCAGUAUUGGUUCCUACCGAUUCAUUCAAUUCGACUCCGAUUGCACCAGGAGGAGUCAAUUCUCAAUGUCCAGUACAAUCAAUUCCAAUAGAAACAGUACCAACGUUAUUGCGUAUUCCAAUAUCCGCACCAAUCAAACCACCUAAUUCUGUUUCGCAAUCCAAUAAGGUUCCGAUAUCCAAUCUUAUUCAGAGUAUGCCAAUUUCUAAGGGAUUGAAGUUUCCAAAGACUCGACGAAACAAAGCGUUUAGCAUUACUACUGAUUUAACUCCAUAUGAUAUAUUAAAGGAUCUUGAUGAAAUCCAACCAGCUAUUACCAUGAAGCAAUUAUUGGCUAUAGCACUAGAGUGUCGUUCUACUCUAACUUCUUCAUUGAUACGACGAAGUCAUCGAGACAAAGAGAUUUAUGAGGUGAGUUUAAAUUCGGAUCCUGGAGCACCUACAAUUGAUGUUACUAUUGACGGAGUUUUAAUCUCAGGCAUCCAAGUAGACGGUGGUUCUAGCGUCAAUCUGAUGACAGAGGAUACCAUGGAGAAAUUGGGUUUGACUAGGUUAUUGCCUACUACUUUAUUACUACGUAUGGCGGAUCAUAGUAAAGUCCAUCUGAUGGAAGUUCUAAUAGAUGUGGAGACAAUUAUUGCGGGAAUUGCAUACAAGAUCGACUAUGUAGUCUUUCAAUUGAAGAGUUCUGCGUUAUCAUACCCAACUCUAUUGGGUAGACCUUGGUUAUUUCAUGCGAAGGCUCGUAAUGAUUGGGGAUGGGGGACCUUGAUGAUUGGGAAAAAGCGCAAUAAAAUUGUUUUACAAAUGUAUCCAGUUUCCUAUCAUGGCGAAUCACAAGUAUCCUGCACGGAAUUUACUUCAGAAGGACAUAGUGAAUCAAGCGACGAUGAGGAUCCAUUUCAUGGAAACGAACAAUAUGAAAAAAUUCAAUCUCUUACAAAACAUACAGGAGUUAUUUAUCAAUGUGGUGGACCAGGGGAGUACUUAAUUCACCAAGAAGAUACUGACAAUUCUGACCAUGCCAUUGCAAGAUGGAUGAACAAUUAUGCAGUCAACCAUAUUAGUACGAUGGAGCCAGAAAUGGAUGGUGCCAAUUCAUCAGAAUUGGUAAUGGGUUCAGAACCGGAUGAACAACUGGAAGCACCGGAAUUGGUAGAACCAGUUUGUCAGGAGAUUAAUCUGGGAUUAGAGACCCAGAGUCAACCCAUUCAAGUUUAUGGUAGUAUACAAGGACGAGAGCUUCAAGAUUGGAUCAAUUUUUUCCAUAAGCAUAAACCUGCAUUUGCUUGGACUUACAACGAUUUACGAGGGAUACCAGCGGAAAUUACAGAACAUAGAAUUGUGUUAGAAGAAACUGCGAGACCAAUUUGCCAAAGAUAACAUCGGCUGAAUCCGAAGUAUUCGCUGUUAGUAAAAGAAGAAUUGGAUAAAUUAUUACGAGUUGGAUUUAUUUACGAAGUUCCAUAUAGUGAGUGGGUUUCCUCAAUUGUAAUGGUACCUAAAAAGAAUGGAAAAAUCCACAUUUGCCAAGAUUAUCGCAAAUUCAAUGCUGUUACUAAGAAAGAUUAUUUUCUAUUACCCUUUACGGACAGUAUAUUGGAUGCAGUCGCUGGACAUGAGUGUUAUUCCUUUUUAGAUGGGUUUUCAGGGUAUAAUCAAGUAAAGAUUGCUAAGAAUGAACAAUUAAAGACCACGUUUACAACUGAUUGGGGUACCUACGCGUAUACAGUUAUGCCAUUUGGACUAUGUAAUGCUCCAACUACAUUUCAACGUGUUAUGACUCAGGCUUUUCAUAAAUAUUUGCGUAGUUCCAUGGAAAUUUUCCUGGAUGAUUUCUGCACAUUUAGUAAACGUUGUGACCACUUGAAAUGGCUAGGCAAUUGUUUGGAUCAAUGUGAUCACUUCGGUAUAUCUUUGAAUUCCGAAAAAUGUACGUUUGGUGUUCCUUCAGGGAAACUAUUGGGGCAUAUUGUUUCCAAAAAAGGAAUUACUACUGACCCAGAUAAAGUGAAAAAAAUAGCCAAUUUACUUAGACCCGAUACAGUUGCUGGUGUGCGAGGUUUUGUGGGACAUGUUAGUUAUUAUCGAAGGUUUAUCCAAUCAUUUGCAGUAAUUUACCAACCCUUAACUAAUCUUUUAAAGAAGCCAACAUCCGAUGGGAUGAGUCCUAUUUGGACACGUGAGUGUACCGUUGCUUUCGAGGACUUAAAACACAGAUUGGUAUCCGCUCCAAUAUUGGUCUCUCCUUGCUAGACUAAAAUUUUUCAUGUAUAUGUGGAUGCAUCCAAUGUUGCAAUUGGUGCGGUCUUAAGUCAAAAAGAUGAAAAGAAUUGUAAUCAUCCAAUUUAUUAUGCAAGUCGGCAAUUGGUUGCUGCUGAACGUAAUUAUACCACCACUGAGCGAGAAGCUUUGGGAAUGGUUUAUUGAGUUCAAAAAUUUCGGCAUUAUCUAUUGGGAUAUUCUUUUGUAUUCCAUGUAGAUCAUGAUGCUUUAAAAUAUAUGAUUAAUAAACCUCAAUUAAGUGGACGAAUUGCUCAUUGGGUAUUAUUGCUACAAGAAUUUAAUUUUACAGUUAUUGUCAGACCUGGUAAAUCUCAUGCCAAUGGCGAUCAUUUGUCACGAUUAACUAAGGAGAUGGGAGAUGACCCCGUUCUAGAUUCCCUACCUGAUGCUAAUUUGUUUGCUGUUGAUAUAAUUUCGGAAGAAUAUGCCGAUUUAAUUCAAUAUUUAACAUCACAAACAUUUCCUAUAACUUUUACAAAGACAAUGAAGAAGCAAUUGCUUUAUAAGAGCACUCCUUACACAAUGAUUGGAAAUGUACUGUAUAAAAAGGGCAAAGAUGAUGUCUUACGAUGGUGUAUAUAUCAAAGUGAAGUUGACUUAAUUUUAGAAGGGUGUCUCAUGGAUAGUUGUGGUGGUCAUUUUGUUGGAGAUGCUACGGCCCGAAAGGCCUUAUUGGCUGGUUAUUGGUGGCCUACAAUGUUUGCAGAUGCCCAUCAAUAUGUCCGGCGUUGUGACCCAUGUCAGCGAAUUGGUAGACCAACUGUUACAUCUGCAAUGCCACUAGUAUCAAUUCUAGCUCAAACACCUUUUGAAAAAUGGGGUAUUGACUUUAUGGAACCAAUUGCAUCGGCUUCUCGCAAUGGACAAAAGCGAUAUAUAUUGGUCGCUAUGGAUUAUGUUACAAAAUGGGCUGAGGCUCUUGCUACUCGAACUGAUAGUGCUGCCACUGUAGCCAAUUUUCUAUAUGAAAAUAUUAUUACUCGGUUUGGAUGCCCUAAAGAAUUGGUCAGUGACCGUGGAACUCAUUUUAUUAAUAACACUAUCGCUGCGUUAACAAAUAAGUACGAGAUUAAGCAUCGUAAAACUUCUCCUUAUCACCCUCGGGCCAAUGGUCAAACUGAAAAGACUAAUGGAAUUUUAUGUAAAAUAUUAACCAAGACAAUUUCGGGUGUUGGCACCGAUUGGGACACAAAAUUGUUUGCGGCUUUAUGGGCUUAUCGUACUGCUUAUAAGGUUAUGACCAAUUCUAUGCCUUUCCAAUUGGUGUAUGGGCAAGAGGCUAUUUUACUAAUUGAAUUGGAAGUACCCAGUUUACGGAUUGCAGUGGAUGAACGCUUAGGUGAUACAGCGUCGCUUCAAUUUAGGUUAUCUGAAUUGGAGAAAUUGGAUGAGAAUUGAGCUCACGCUUUGAUGGUUAUGGAAGCCAUUCAAAAACGACAGAAAAGUUAUUACGAUAGCAAAUUACAAUUGAAAACUAUUAAAUCCAAUGAUUUGGUUUUGCUGUAUGAUAGCCGGUUUCAGAAUUUUCCAAGAAAAUUUCAAGUACGAUGGCAUAGACCUUACAAAGUUAUUGAAUGUUAUCCUAAUGGAUCAGUACAAUUGGAAGAUUUUUCUGGCAUUAAAUUGCCUACACGUAUUAAUGGUUAUCGAUUAAAGUUAUAUCAAAUGUAAUUAUCUAAUCAGUCCAAAUUCAUUAUUAUUUCCUCUUAACCCGAGGACGGGUAUGUUUAAUGAUGAGGAGGGGAGACUUGUUAAGUAUGCCGUAAUUUUGAUGUAACCCAUUGCAUCUGAUAGGAGAGGGGCACUUCUGAAUCAGUACCUCCAUUCUUGCAAUUGUAGCCGAACAAUUGAGUACACCCAGAGUAUUGAGUGUUUAAGACAAGAAUAAGAUUGUUCAGUUGAGAAGUAUUUCGUGAGAAAAUAUCGAAAGAGGUGUUUUUGUGUUAGGGUGAGAGGUUUUGUUAUUAGGGUUUCACAAUGGCGAGAGGUCUUAAGCGAACAAAAGAGAGGGAUGAUAGGUCAAGGAAUGUGAGGUUUAUGAAUGAGUUACCAGAAUUGGAGUUGGUAACAUUCACAAAUAUGGAGAAUUGCCAGAUUGACUUGCUGUGGCAGAGGAAAUUCGAGAAAGAUUUCAAGGAGGCGGACGUUUAUGGUUUCUUGCGAUAUUCAAGAGUUUUACCGCCAUUAGAUCCGUCUAUUACAGAAGAAUUUGUACGACAUUAUGACCCACCAGAUGGUUCGAGUGUGGUGCAUAAUCGUAUUGUGGGAUUGGAGGCGCCCAUUCUACACAAAGUUUUGUAUUUGCCAAUUGGAGAACUGGCCGUAGGAUCGGAGGUGACGGUGGAGUUCAAUCCGGAGCUAUAUUUUUGUUCGAAGGCCAACGCGUUUGUGAAGGGCCAGGGUUGGAAGGUACUGGACGUUCUUAAACCAGAAGUGGGAGAGUGGUUACGAUUUGUUCAGAAGAGAAUGGCGUUAAAUAGACAUACAACAUAUAUUGCCAAGAACUUGUUGUUCGCAGCAGUAGCUUCAAUGGAUGGUAUGAAGUUUAAUUGGGCAGAGUUUGUAGCUCAACGUAUGUAUAACGAGUUAUCAUACAAGAGGACGUUAGGAAAGGUUACUACAUUACUUUGUUCUAAUUACAUCUCUGAGGUAGUGAAGUAUUAGUUGAAACUCCCUCUACAAGAAUAAGAGAAGGCGAGGUUGAAGAAGUUAGGGAAGGUAGUCACCCUUGAAGAAAGAGAGAAGGAGACUGAGCAAGCCAAGUCACCUGAGCAGAUAGUGCAAAAUCAGAAGGAGCAAACCAAUGAGCCAUCAAUCGCGGUGGGUAUCAGUUCUAAGGGCAAGGAAAAAUUGGAUCAAAGACCAGAACCAUCUUUAGCUUUGGUUUUACCAAACCGGUUGACUGGAGAGACAUCUACCCAAUUCGAGGGUCAACACAGUUCUGGUGAUAAAUGGGGAAGUGCUAAAGAGAUGCUGUUAUAUCAAGUGGAGACACUCUUACCCCAAUUCAACAGGUUGCAUAGAAUGGUGCACGAAUUACAAGAUAGUGAUGAGCUGAGUAAAGAUUUGGAGAAUCAGAAGAAAUUGGUUGCAACUCAACAGAAGAAAAUUGCAGAAUUGGAAGAGAAGUUGGCUGAGAAAGUGACGAAGUAUACAGAAUUGGAGGUUAGGUUAAACAAAAUGGACAAGGAUUGGCGGAUGGAUAGAAUGCUUCAUCAAGCUGCAGAAGAUCUUUCGAAGCAGGAACGAGGUCUAGCAAGGACACAAUUGCAGGAAUGCCUAGAGAAAUGUGUAAAAUUGGAGAAAGACCAUCAACAGACGUUGUUAGAAGUUGCUACAAUACGGGAUCGCAUUAGAAAUUUGGAAGCAGAAUUGGAUUUAACAAGACAACCGGUGAGUACUUCCAAUUCUGAAGAAGUUGCAGAAUUGAAGACCAAACUUGAUGACCAUCAGAAGUAUAUUGCAAGGUUGGAAGAGCAAGUGCGAGUGUUGGGAUUUGCCAAUGAAGAUUUAACUGAGCAAUUGGAAAAGGCAGAAGAAGAAGAAGAAGAAGAAGAAGAAGAAGAAGAAGAAAUCGAAGAACCCAAUUUUCAGGUGCAAGCACCAGUUGAAACGAUCUUAUUGGAUGAAUUAUCGGAGCCAACCAAUGCUGACAACCAAUAAUAUUAGGAGAAUUGGUUCUAGAAUUGGAUGUUUGCGAGGACGCGGCACAAUUAGGAGUGGGGCUAUGUAGAACGGGUAAAUUAGUUAGUGCUAAAAUUUUGACUUUAGUAGAUUAGAACCGGUAUUGAUGAAAUCAGAAAACCAAUAGUCAUGUGAAAGGUUCCAAGAUACAGUUAACUGACAAAAACCGGUUGGAAUCUGAAAAAGGGUAUAGUAGGAGAAAGAUUGAUUAGCUUAGGGCCAGACUUGUGAGUCUUAGAGCCGGGGUAUGCUUGGGUGCUACCUCUAUUUUUUCUAUUUCUUUCCUUUUGUAUUUUGAUGUUUCGUUGUGUUUAUAAAGAGAAGUUUAUGAGAAUUGUGUGUUGACCACAGUGUUACAGUGAAUGCUGUAUUGGACCAGAAUUGGUUCUAUACAUUACUCAUGCGACAGUUCUUUCCCUUGUGUUUGAACCGAUUUAAACUAUACUUAAUUCAGAAAUUGGGGCAAUUCGGAUUUCCUGACUACACGUUGGAUGAACGUCUUAGAGAUAAGGAAUCACUCUAAUAUCGAUUGGUAGAGUUGGAUAAAUUGGAUGAAAUAUGGACUACAACUCUUUUCAACAUGGAAGCAACUCAAAAACGGCGGAAGAGUUAUUAUGAUAGUAAACUGCGUCCAAAGAGUUUUAUGCCCAAUAAUUUGGUAUUGUUGUAUGAUAGCAGGUUUAAUCAUUUUUCGGGCAAAUUUCAAGUUCGCUGGCAUGGACCAUAUCAUGUGAUUAAAGGAUUUUCCAAUGGAUCUAUUCAAUUGGAGGAUUUGAUGGGUCAUCGAUUCAGUACCUGCAUUAACGGGAACUGAUUAUGAUUAUAUCAUACAUAAAAUCCGGGAUGGGUUUUCAAUUUUUAGAGGAGGUCACGUCGAAUGUACUUAGGAUAGACCUAAUUAAGUGCGUUAGGGUGUAGAGGCGGCUGAAAGGAUAGUUAAUAAUUACUAAUGUGUUAGAUGGGACGGAGGUAAAAAAACGGACAGUAGGAAUAACAUGUUGUCGUUAUCACCAUUAGAUAAAAGAAUAGGAGUGAGGCACCCAUUUAUGAUCAUUCUCAGGUGUCGCAUUCUGUUAUUGUUUCUUUUUGGUGUUACAAUUUCGAGUGUUUUGGAGUAUUGGAGUGUAGUAUUGACGGUUAGAGCUUAAAAGAGUGUGCGUCAUGGCGAUUGAGAGUACAAAGAGAGCUACAGACAGAGAGGAAAGUGGCCGAAAUGUGAAAGCUAAAUGUAAUUUAGGACCACCAUCUAUAGUAAUCGUUACCAAUAUGGAGCCUAUAAAGCUGGAGAUUUGCUAGAUGCUAAGGAGAAUAUAAGAAUAUCGAAACGCACAAAUGUUUCAAUUUUUACAAAGGUCACGUAGUUUGCCUUCAAUUAAUGUGGAAUUAGUAGAAGAAUAUAUCGCGAACUAUGAUCCAUAGGAUGGAUCGAGCGUAGUACAAGGGCACAUUAUUGGUAUUGAUGAGAAGAUCCUUGAAAAAGUACUGUUUCUUCCAGUUGGAGAGAUUGCGGUGGGUGCUAAGAAGUCCAGUGACUUCUGACCGGUGUCGUACUGUAAAUACUUACAGUAUGUAAAAAUUAGUUAGAACAUAUUAUAUAUUAAUAAAUCUAAAUGUGUGUUAGAGUGGCUAGUAGAUUAAAUUAAAAGGAGUUGAUAUAAGAAACUUUACUUUGUUUCUUUACUUAUUUUGAUUUUGACAUUAAAAAUAUAUAUAUAUAUAUAUAUAUAUAUAUAUAUAUAAGACCUAAAUAUUUAUUAUGAAGCCUUGGGAGAAGGUGAAAGCUUAAGGAUAAAAAUCUAAACUUAUAGGAGGCUAAUUGGGAGGGAUAAAAGCAAAGCAUGGUUGGAUGAAGGCAAGGAAUGGAGAACUUCAUUCCUAUUGGUCGAAUAUCAUACCCAAUGGGCUUCAAGGAGGCUGCUCGAGGCCUUAUUAGGGAUUAAGGUUCCUCUUUCCGGGGCAUUUGGAGAUUACAAUCUAAGAUUGUAAAGUUUAGGAUUUGAGGUACAAUUUGUGUGCAAAAAUUAGAGGAUUUGGAGUUAGGGUGAAAAAGUUAUAGCCGUUUGAAGUUAAGGUAUUUAUUUAAGAUAUAUUGUUACUCUUUUGAGAGCACGAGGAGUUUUACAGUAGCUUUUGAAGAUCGGAAGGUGCGACUGAAAUGGCGAUUUCAAGGCCUACAUCUUUUAUGAAAGAAUUAUUUCUUUUGGAGUUCAUAUAAAGGAGUUGUAAGGAGUUGAAGGCGGUGCUUCCAAAUCAAAGGCAGUAAGUAAGCGGUUUUGUUUGUAGUAAUGGUUGGAGCCAUAACUUGAGUAUUUGGAUGAAUUUUUGGCUCAAAAUUUUGGAGAAUGUAAAUUUUUGUGUUAAAAAGCUAUAUAUAUAAAUUUCGUGGCAUUUAAUCUUUUAUUUUUUGAGAUAUGAAGAAAAUUGCACGUAGAUGUAUAAAGACAAGGAUUUGAAGUGACUGUUAGGGUUUUCAAGAUAUCUCAAGAUUUACAACGAAUUUGCAAUUGAAACUUAUUGUAGAAGUUAAUAAGAAUACAUCAGUACCUCAUAUAAAAUUCGAUUUUGUUUGGACGGUCGGAUUAGGAGAUAUGAGGUGUUGAAGUUCAAGAAAAUCUCCACAUAAGAAUAAACAAGGUUUUAGAAGAUUUUAUCAUAUUUUGGAAGUUCUGGGUUACUUGAGGAUUGUAUAUUUGGAGUAAUUACUCAAAAAGAAAAAUUAUAUAUAAACUUAGGGCUUUUCUUAUUUUCAAGCUUGAUUGAAUAAUUAGUGACAGCCAGAAGCCCAGCAUUUUCUUGAGGCAAACUCUCUCUAUCCCGACAUCGGGAAGUUAUUUCAAAGAUGGCAUGUCAUCAUUUGAAAAGAACCAAGGUUGGUAGAUGGUUGAGGCAAUUACACCAAAGCUCAUGGAAUGGUUGCGCUUCGUGUUGAGGCAUCUAGGGUUGUAUCGACACAACACAUAUAUGUCAAGACGGUUAAUGUUUACAACGGUAGGGAUGUUUGAAGGGAUGGUAUUCAAUUGGGCAGCUUAUGUAGCAACCCGUAUUCAUGCAGAAAUGGGAGCUAAGUACAAAAUAGGAAAGUUUACAACGUUGCUAUGUUCCAAUUAUGUGUAUGCUAUGAUUGCAUACACAUUGCGACAAACAUUGCUAGUAGAGGGAAGUUCUAAACUUCUGUCAGUGCCUCUAUACUGAGAAUGGAAUUUGUUGGCACAGAAUGUCAAUAUAACGAAGAUAAUAUAUGAAGAUGGAAAAUCCAGUCAUCUAGUGGCACCGAAAACAGAUCCGAUUCGUUCAGUAGUAGAGGAGGAGAAUGAAGUCCCGACGUUGUUAGAUAUCAAUCAAUUAACGUUUCUACAGGGCCGACUACCAAAAGGCAUACAUCUUAAAAAUGCUCCAUUGAAGUGUAUUUCUUAAAUACAUUGCGUGGUACGAGCAUUGGAUGUAAAGGACAGUGGUAAACAAGAAUUAGAGGCAAGCAAAAAGGUGAUAUCGAAGCAAACCCGAAGGAUUGAAGAGCAAGAAUGGAUCAUCCAGGCAAAUAUAGAAUCCAAGCUGUUAUUGGAGCAAAAAAUUAGGGAACAACAGGAAGCUUGGGACAAAGAAAGAGAACGCAUGGUAGAAACCCACAGGCAAGAACUAUUCUAGGCUUGCAGUCAUUUAAUUUAGGAACUAAAAAAAGUGAAGGAUCAGUUGGUAAUGGAAUGAGAAAAGACCGAGUUAUUGGUGCAAGAGAAAUUAAUAUUGAGUGACCAAUAUAGAUGUGAAACAGAGCAAAUAAUGGCUGAAAUUGAGGCCUUGAAUGUCGAGGUGACAAGAUUAGCAAAGGAUUUAGUCAAUAUUGGUCAAGCAUAAGUAUCGAAGUUGCCAGUUCUCGAAGUUUCAGAAGAGAGGAGAUACUUUCAAUGCCAGUUGGAAUUAAGAGAUGCCCAAAUCCUGAAAUUGGAAGCUCAAGUCCGUGAACUGGGCGAGUACAAUGAAGACCUUUCAGCUCAGCUGAAGCAAGAGCCGAUAGUAGGAUUGGAGGAGGACGUAGAUUUACAGUUGGAAUUAGAAUCGGUGGAACCAAUAACAGAUAUUGCGGAAAUUCAUUAAUUAGAUAGGCCAGAGGGAUCGCAAAUUUUGUAGAGUUUUGUUAGAUAAUUUUUAGAUAGGUAUCAAUUGAGUAUUUGCGAGGAUGAUGCACAGAUAGGAGUGAGGCUAUGUAGAAUACAUAUUAAUUCAUUUUUGAAAGAUAUUGGUAAAAUAUAUUAAUAGUCCAUAUAAUAAGAAAUUCAGGAGGAUGGAUGAGUGAUUUAGUUAUUAAAAGUAAUUAAUUACAAAAUUAUAGUUAGAAUCUAGAAAAUCAGAGAAAAGUAUAUAAGAGUUGUAGAAGUUAAUUAAGGAGCCAUCUCUGUGAUAGUUGUGAGCUGGGAUAAGCUUGGUGCUACCUCUUUUCUUUUAUUUGUUAUUUUCUUUGAAUAAGAGGAUUGAGAGUUUUUGAAUAUUGUGAAGUGAAUUAUGGAAUGGAAAUGUGAUUGGUGUUAUUUGAGAAGAAGAAAGAUUGAAUGCCAAAAUUUGAUUGUAGUUCAGCACAGAGAAUGAGUCUGUGUUUGUGUGAAACAUCGUAAUGUGAAUGACAGUUCUGUGUGAAGAAUUCCAGUGAUUGGAAUGAGGGUAAUUGUGUGAUGAAAGCUGUGAGGGCGCAGUAUUACAAUUGGAGAUUAUGAGGGUGAAUAUAUUGGUGGAAAUAGCAGUUAUUGGUAUGAUUGAAUUUCUAUAAGGAAGAGAUCGAUAAGGUGAAUGAUGAGAUUAUAGUUUCCUUGUGUGUUGAGAUAUUAAAAAUAGAGACGAUACAUUUAGGAGGUAAUUGAUUGUGUGACCCUAACGUGAACGCUUAAGCAACUAGUCAUUCCCUGUGUUCGAAUUCUCCUAUACGGGUUUAUUCCCAUUAGAUUAAUUUGGAAUAAGUAUAACAAGCAAUCACAAUCCAUCAUCAAUCUUUCAUUAAAAAUAAUGUAUCCUAGGAAGAAAAUUUGAGUAGUGUAGAAUAUAAACUUUUCUAAUGUGAUAUAUAAUCUUGUAUUUCCAAGUUUUUGUAAUACAUAACAAACAUAAAUUUCAUAUUCUUUUAAGUUCUUAGAAGAGAUUAAGAUAUUGAUCAAAUAAUAUAUGACAAAAUCAUCAAAAAACUCACAAAAGAUACUAUUUAUUAGAUGUUGAAAAGGAAUUAAUACAUUCAUGAGUCCAAAAGAUAUGACAUUGUAUUCAAAAUGCCUAUACUUGGUUUAAAACACAGUUUUUCUUUUAUCUCCUUAUUUAAUACAUAUCAAAUUAUAUGCUUCUUAUAGAUCUAUUUUUAUAUAGAACUUUAUUUAAUUGAAUUAAUCAAGAAGUCUUAAAAUCAAAAAUAAAAGAUAUCUAUUUUUAUUAGUGAUCUUAUUGAAUCUUCAAUAAUCUACACACAUCUGUAGAGAUUUAUCUUUUUUCUUUAUAAAUAAGAUAAAAGCCUCAAUUGGAGAUUUAGAAUAGCAUAUAAAAUUCUUAGCCAAAUUCUCAUCAAUAUACUCUUUGAAUACAAUUAAUUUUUUUUAUGAUAGGUUAUAGAUUGGUCCAAAUAGUGGUUGAGCUCUUUCAUGAAGAUCGAUGGAUAAUCAUAAGGAGAAUGCUCUAAAAGAAUAUCUACAUUUUUUUUCAAAAACAUCAUAGAAAUCUUAAUAUUUUCUAGAAAUAUUAUUUGAGGUUUUUUCACCAUUAAAAUAGGCGUGGCAUAUAUAGAAAAAGAUGGCAUUUUUUUGUGGCAUGCAAAAAAGCUCUUACAUCUACUAAUAAAGAUUUGGAUGUAUUAGACUUAUAUAUUUUUAUUUGAUUAAUGGAAUUUUGGAUUAAACUACCAAAAAAAUUAAGAUUACAAGAAAUUUGAUCUAUUUGAAUAUUGUAUUUUUUAAAUCAAGAUAAUCCUAAAAUAAAUAAAUUAGAUAGAGAUCUUAUUACAUUAAAUAUUAUUAUGUUAUUAUGAUCUUUAAUUGUUAUAUCUAAAGGAACAUUAUUAUGUAUAACAUCUCUAGAAGAUAACAAAUGAUCUUCUAUGACUUCCACAUGUAUGGAUUUUAUUUUCUUCACUAAUAAUAUCUCUUGAUUUUUUGACAAAAUCUUUGUUUAUAAAACAUGUUGAGGCUCUUAAAUCUAACAAAGUUAUGACUUUGUGAUUUUUUGGUCCUAAAUAAACUUUUAUUAUAAAAUAAGAUGAAUAUUUGAAAAAAAAAUAGAAUCUUUAUUAAGAGUUAUAUAAGAUUCUAUUUGCACGAUCCCUAUUGUCGCUGGAGAAAUUCAUUUUUCAACACAUUGUCUUCUUUGGCAACCAUGCUUUUGAUUUUGUGGUUGUGUUAUUUCUUUGGACAAUGUUGAGCAGUGUCUUUAGCUUCUCCAUAAUAUAAGCAUAAGCUCUCUUAAUACCAUCAAGUCUUUUCCUACUUUAUAAAGAAUUUAAAAUGUACUUUAUUAAUUUGUAUUCAUUUUGGCCUUGAUAAAUAAGUUUUUGAAAACUUGAGAGCUACUAUCAUUAUUUGACUUAAUCAUCUCUAGCCAAGUUUUUGUUAUUGACAUCUUUUAAAUAAUUGAUUGUUGCAUGUAAUGGCUUCACCAAUAAAUUAUUUCCAAGAUUUUGUCUUUGAUAUUGUCAAUAAUAAAUCUUUAAUAUUAUCCUUCAAUCCAUAUCAAAAUUGAUUAAUAAGGACUUUGUCAUUCCAAUCCAAGUUGCAAGUGAGGUUUUAGAAUUCAGUAGCAUAUGUAGUUACUAAUCGUGACCAUUGACAUAAAAAUAAGAGUUUGAUCUCUACUUUUCUUAUUUGAUCACUUUCUUUGAAUGUGGCCGAAAACACUUCCAAGAAUGGAUUCAAAUCAUAAAAGAAUUAUAAAUAUAUUUUUAUUAAAGAUCUAAAUUAAGAAAGAAUAUUUUUUGAUAGAAGUACACCUAUGAAUCCAACUUGAGUGAAUCCAUUAGGAUCUGUAAAGAGAUGCAAUCUUAGAUAGAACUUGAUUUGUUAUUAAAAUGGUAAAAUUUUUAAUCUUGUUCUAUCAAACUUCUCAAGCAUACUAAUUCUUGUCCUCGCAUAGUUGUAGAAGAAAAACUCCCUAGAUUUGGUUGUGAAGUCAACCUACUUACUUCCUUCAAUUGCACAACUUCUUGAUGUAGACUCUGAACUUCUUCUUUAGAUAUAGAAAUAGUACCUCUCUGAUUCAUAUUGAAAAUAUGUUGUGAGUCAUCAAAUUGAUUCACUUAUUAUUUUAGGAUAAAAAUAUGCAUUUAGAAUGCUUUAAAUCAUAAUAUAUAAUAAAUAGUAUAGAAAUCCUCAAAAAAAUAGAAAAUAAGAAUGUUAGUGGUAGAAAUGGAAUCUUAGUAAGUCUUAGAGGCAAUUAUCUAUAUUGAUUUAGUAUUUUUAUUCAUUGUUGAAUAGUAAGAAUUAUUUAUUAAGACUAAUAUUUAUAUUGGUCUUCUAUCUAUAUGUACUACUUAUAAAAACUAUAAAUUUUAGUAGUUAGAAGAAGCAUGAGAAAGAACCUCAUGUCAUUUUAGUUAUUGGUAUAAAAAAAAUAGGAUUUAUAAUAGAUUUAAGUUGAUUUUAUUACUAUAAAAAAUCAUAAAGAUAAUAAAUUAUAGCCUUAAAUAGAUAUUAGAAUUAUAAAAAUAUUAUAAGAUUUGUAAGAAUUUAUUUAUAAUUUAUUUAGAAUUUAUUUAGGAAUUUUUAGAGCAAUUUUUAAGACCUUGGUAAAAAUGAUUUUUACCACUGGGGAAGCCAUUAUGAAGAAAUGGAGUAAGAUUUGAAGGCCAUACAAGGUUCUUAGGCUAAUUGGGUGUUUUUAAACAACAUGAUGUGAUCAAAAUUACAAAAAUGUUGGUCCUUCUAAUAGAAAAUAGAAGGACCAGCAGCUAGUGUAGUUCUUGUAGGAAGGGAGGUGCACAAGUCCCAUAUGGGUUGUAGCACCUUGAAGGUAGUUAGGAGGAUAAGACUAAGGCCUCGUGGCCUCUCUUUUUAACACCCUUAUACACUAUAUGGGAGCCUUGGUGAGGCUCGAAUCCUUGAUCUGUAAGCAAAUUAUCCUUGAAGUAAAAUAUUUUUAUUUAACUUUUUGUUUAUUUACUUGUUGUUUCAAACCUUCAUAACUUACUCAUAAUAAUUCGGCUUUAUAUGUUUUUGAAACCAUUGGAAAGAUAAAAAAAUUAUCUAUCUAAAAAUAUACUUUUUAUUUUUUAUUUUUACUUUUUAGUGGAAAAAAAUAUAGUGAACAGAUUGUGAUUAAGUUUUAGAGUGUGUAUUUGCUUGUAUGCAUUUCUUUUAUUUGUUUGUGUUGUUUUCUUCUUUUGUUCUUGUUCAUUACAUCUUCUAUUUCACACUAUCCAUUACAAGUAACUCUUAAUUGAGGCCAUCUUGUAAUUUGGAUAGAGGGGUGAAAUUUACACUCACAUAUGUGAUAUUUUUACUCUUAGAGUGUUAAUAAGAUCAUAAAGAUCAAUAAUAAUUGCAAAAUUAUUCUCACUUUUGCUAAGAGUAGCAUAUUUAAUUUUUCUUUUUAUAAGUAAGUCAAAAAAAUAUAAAAAUUAAAUUAAUAGAAGAUAAUAUAAAACCUCAAAUAUCAAAUAAAAAUUUCUACAAAGAGGAGGAAUCUAUUCUCUUUAAAAAAAAAUCAAUAGUAAUAAAUAAGAUUAUUUCUUUAAAAGUGGAUAGUUUGCAACCUUCAAAAUACAAGAAUAGAAGUGAGAUAAUCUAUUCACUUUUAAAAUAAAAUAGAAAUAAUAAAUUAAUACUCUUGUUAAACAAUCAAAGAGAUGAAUUUUAAAGAAAGAAAUCCUUAUUGCACUCUUGUAUUACUUAGAAGAACUAUAAAGUCACUCAAAAAUAAUAUAGUAUUGAACUAGAAUGGCUAUUACUAAAAACAAGAAAACUAAAAAGUCUUGAAAUAAGACUAAAGAUUAGAAAAGCAUUGACGAGUGAAAAAGGCUUCACUCUUGUCUCCAUGUAUACUCUUAAUUAGGAGUUACAUUGUUGUAUUAUAGUUUCUUAUAGUAUGUAAAAGUUAAUUAAAAUAUAUAUUAUGUUUGUAAGUCUUCAUGUGGAUUACAGUCGUUAAUUAGUAAAUUUUAAAGAGAAUUGAUAUAAGAAAAUUUAUUUCAAAGUUUAUCUAUUUUGAUUAUAGUAUUUAUAUUGUGUAAGAUUUAGAUAUUUAGUAUAAAGCUUAAGAGAAUGUUGAAAUCUAACGAUGAAAGUCUAAACUAUUAGGAUGUUUGUUGGAAAGGAUGAAAGCAAGAUAUGGUUGAAUGAAGGUAAGGGAUGAAGAUCUUCAUCCCUAUUGGUCGAAUGUCAUGUCCAAUGGACUUUAAAGAGGUUGCCCGAGGCCUUAUUAGGAAUUAGGGUUUCUCUUCUAAGGUAAUUUGAGCUUUAGAAGCUAGGAUCAGCAAAUUUAGGUUUUUGGAUAUGGUUUGGGUGCAUAUUUUGAGUGACUUGGAAUUUUUAUGAAGGAGUUAUAGGCGCUCAAAGUUAAGGUAUCAAUUUUGUAUCUACUGUCACUCUUUGGGGCAUAACAUAUCCUUACAUAGAAAAACAACGGAUUAGUGACAAAGAUUGGAGAGAGUAAUUUUUUGAUUAUACUUUUUAUAUAGUAUUUGAUAAAUUCUAAGUCUAAAUAAAAGAAUUAUAAGGUAUUGAAGACAACACAUAUAAUUCAAAAAUAAUAAGUAAGUUGUUUUAUUGAUAGUAAUGGUUGGAGCCAUAUCUUGAACUUUUGAACGAAUUAUUGGCUUAAAAUUUCUAUAAGUAUAUGUUAUUAAGUUAAAAAGCUAUAGAUCAAAUUUUCAUGGUAUUUAAAUACUUAAUUUGUGAAAUAUGAAGAAAAUUUCAUGCAUGUGUAUGUAAGCAAGGAUUUGAAGCUAAUAUUAGGAUUUUUGAUAUAUCUCAAGAUUUGUAAUGAAUUUGUGCUUCAAAUUUGUUUUGAUAGUUGUUGAAAGUAUAUUAAUAUUUUAUGUAAAAUUUUAGUUUGUUCAAAUGAUUAGAUCAUAAUAUAUGAAUUAUUGAAGUUUGAGAAAUUUUUUCAUAAGAAUAUAUAAGGUUUUAAGAUAUUUUAUCAUAUAUUUGGAUCUUUUUUUGUACUUAGGCUUAUGUUUUGAUGUAAGUGCCCUAAAUGGAAAAAUGUUAUAUAUAUAAACUUAGAACUUUAAUAUCUUAGACUUGAUUGAGUAUUUACUGGUAGCCAAAAGUCCAGCCCUUUCUUCAGGAAAAUACUCUCUACUCUGACAACGUGGCAAUGACCUAUAGGACCUCCAAAACACGUUGACUUAGCAAAACAAAUAUCUUAAUUUUUAAGGCAAGUUUUUUAUAAGUAUGCUAUAUAAUUAGCUUAUUUUGUAAACUAUCAACAAGUGGUUAAAUUGCUGACUAAGUUUCUAAUCUAUCAAUCAAUUGUAAAUACAUAUAAAGUUAAAGAAGCAUCUAUGGCACUUCUAAAAAGCUUCUAUAGAAGGUAUUAUAAAAUUAAUUUAAUUUUAUCUACUUUAUUUAGUUCUACUUAAUUAUAUAUAUAUUUAUUAGAGUACAUAUGUAUAUCUAUAACAAUUACUUAAUUCUUAUUUGAUUCUUCAUUUGAAUUUUUAUCAAGAAUUAUAAUUAUAUAACCUAAUAUUAAAGUCAAGUAUGUGUCUAUAUAUCAUUCAAAGAGUACUUCUCUAUUAUAAUCUCUAUGUCAUAAAGGUCUAGUUAAUUCUUCUUCUAAAAGAUUUGAAUUAUAAGAAAACUUAUCGACAUACAAAUUGGUAAUACUUGUGUAAUACACAACUUCAAAGUUGUAUUCUUGAAGCAAGAAAGUCUAUGUAGCAAACUUGCUAAUAAGCUUCUUUGAUUCUAUAAUCGACUUUAAAUAUUGAAAAUUAGUUAUUAAUAUAAAUUAUUGACUAUGCAAGUAAAGUUGGAAGUGAACAAUGGUCCAAAUCGCUUCUAAAGCUUUUCUUUUAUAAGAUGAAUAAUUAGACUUUACAUUGUUAUUACUUUUAAAAAUAAAUAUAAUUACAUAUUCCUAUCAUAUAUCAUUAUUUUGUAUCAAUAUUGUUUUGAAUCCUAAUGCACUUCAAUUUGUAUGUAGUUGAAAAGGUCUUAUAAUAUUUGGACAUUGAAGCACUAGAGUUGAAUCUAACUUUUGCUUCUGCAUGUGAAAUGCACGUUAUUACUCACAAUCUCAAGUCUAUGAUCAAUCUUUUCUCUAGAGAAUAAUUAAAGGCUGGGUAAUUAAGUUGAAACUCUUAAAAAACCUUUGGUAGUAAUUUGUUAACUCUAAAAAAGUCCAAAGUUGUAAAACAUUACUUAGUAUUGGAAUGUUUUGCAAAGCAUCUACCUAUGCUUCUUGCAUGCUAAGAUCUCUUAGAAUAAUUAUGUGAUUCAAGUAUGAUAACUAUUUGUAGAAGAAUUUAUACUUGCCAUGAUAUAAAGGUAACUUUUAUUUCCAUAAUUGCUUAAAUAUUAAUUAUGAAUAUUUCACAAGAUCUUAAAAACUACUAUUAUAAAUAAUAAUAUCAUCAGUGUAGCAUCUAACAAAUAACAAGCCAAAUAGUAUUUAGUCCAUAAUUCUUAGAAAUUCAAUUGGUGCAUUCUUGAGACCAAAGAAAAGGAAUUUUUAAUAAUAAAAUUAAUACUUAUUAUCUUGAUUAACUUUCUAAAAUGGUAUCUUCACAUAAACUUCAAGAAAUAAUAAUGAUUGGUGAUGAUAAUAUAUCUAUCUAUCUAUCUAUCUAUAUAUAUAUAUAUAUAUAUAUAUAUAUAUAUAUAUAUACAUAUUAUCAUUUAAACACUACUACAUGCUAACACAACCUUAAACUGCUAAUUUAUUGAAGAAACAACUCUUAUGCUCUUAAAUCCUCACUUAUAGCCAAAGGAAGGAUUUCAUUAAUACAAUAUGUUUAUGAAUUAGCAAUGUUGGUAGAACAUGGAACAUCUUCUAAAAAACAUUAUAUGAAAGAAAUUCCUAAGCAUAUGUUAUUUUCAAAUCUUUAGCCAAAGCAACAAAGUAAUGUUGAGCUUGUAGUUUAUCAAUUAUAUAAAAUUUUAAGCUAAAAUAUAACUUAUAUUCUUCAAACUUAAUAAGUUUAGGAUCCACUAUUCCUUGAUCAUUAUUAUUUGAUCUCAAAGUACAAAAAUGAUCAAUAAAAUGCUUUUAAACAGCAAAGCAUAUGCCAAAAAUCUAUACUAAAGUAUUGAAGUCCACAAGCUAGCUUAGAAAAAAUAUCAUUGUUUCUCAAUGAUAUCAUAAGAAGCUAUGGUAUUAGUUAAAAAGUCCAUGAUACACUCCUUUUCAUUGGCAUUAGUUUCUUCAUAGGUUUGAAAAUUAACAUCACAAAUUAUAUUGAGUCCACAUAUCCAAAAUAAAAAUGAUAUUAAAAAUGUUAUAAGGAUAAGAAAUGUGCCAUAAGAUGCCUCUAUUUUAUUACCUACAAAUGAAUUCUAUCUUAUUAGCUAAUGCAAGAAGAGGCUCAUUAGUCUUAGUAACAAAGAAACUCAAUUAUUAUCCAAGAUAUCAUCAAACUUGCAUCCAAGAUGUUGUUUGAUUCUAAAAAGUAUUACUAUAAGUAUAUAAGACAAGGCCAAAUUGAUAUAAAUCCAACAAGAUUGAGGGAUAUAAGAUCCUAAAGCCACAACAUCCACAAAAGUUCAAAGACUAAAGAGUUGGUAAAUAUAUUGACUAGACUCCAAUACUUAUAUUAAGAUAUCAUCAAAUUGAGGUACAUUUUCAAAAAUAUAAUCAAGUGGUGGAAUUUGAUGUAUAAACCACCAUUGUAUAAGUUGCAUCAAAUAUGUAAAUAAAUUGGAUUAAAGAUCAUUCAACUUUCAACUUGCUUUAAUACAUGAAUGACCUUAAUAAAGCCAUCAAACAAUCAAUAAAUCAAUAUAAUCUAAUCUCUUCAAAUCUUCAUGACUAAUUAGGAUAAAAUCUCAAAGAAAUUGACUAAAACAACCAAAAAUAGAAAAAUAUUAUAAUUCCUUAGAAGACAAAGCCAAUAAUUUUUAGAAAUAAUAUCAAAUUAUUUAGUUAGGUAUAAUCUUAGUAUCCACAUAAAUAUACCACUUAAUAAUAAGCUCGACAUCCAACACUACCACUAAACUAAUAUCAAUGUUUGCAAAGAGUUCUAUAAGGAGAAUACUUGCAUCUAAUGAAUGUCAAUGAGUAAAUUGAACAAAAAAUAAAUUGUGAUGUUUAACAUAUUUAGUAAAGAUAAAUAUUCUUGGCAUCGAUGAGAAAGAUCUGCAUGUGUUUUCUAUAGAGGAGUUACAUCUUGAAUUAAUUUCUAAAGAUGGUAGAUUAUUUGGUUCUAUAUAAUUAGAUAUAAAUUCUAAUAUUUUUUCUAAUAGAAUCGCUUCAUAAGACAAGUCAAAUAUUAAUGUACUACAAUCAAAUAAGGUUCUCCUCAACAUAAUCAUAGCAAUUGUUGCAAAUGUGACUAGAAUGAAUUCUUUUCUUCCAUCACUAACAGAUUAUCUUAGUCUAAUUUAUACUUCUUAAAUCUAAUUAUCUAGACCAAAAUCAAAUGAAUUAAGUACUUAUUUAUUAAUUAGAAUAUUAUAAAUCAUGGCAUUAAUCAUUACAUAUUUUAGAGAUAAGUUUGAGUAAAAAGGUCCUAAUCUAAUACAAAAUAUCAAGUACAAUGGCUACUUAAUAUACCAAGUAAUUUAUUCUAUAUCCCUUUUUAAAGUAACAAUGGUGAAAAAUAAGGCUCUAAGUUUGUGGCAAUAAGACCUAAUUUUUUAGCAAGCAGCUUCGUAAUUAUAAGUAGUUAAGUACUAGAAUCUACUAUAACAUAUAAAAAUGUGGAAUAAGUGGUAUUGUCAUUAGUGUGGCUAAUAACAAGCACAUUAUUAUUAUUAAUUAACUAUACAAUCCUUAGGCAUAAGUUUUGAUAUUCUCAAGUAGGUCUAGCUACAUCAUCAAAUAAAAUUGCUACUCUUGUAGCCAAUGGCACCUCACAUGAAGGCUCAAAGUUUUUAUUUAUUUCUUUCAAGUAAUCUUCAUCAAAUAUGAAAAUAAUUUUAGUUGCAAGCUCUACUUGUAACUUAGCUAAAUCUUCUUUUAUUGAAGGCUUUGUGAUUAUUUGAAGUACUUGUAAAGAUGGUAUAGGCACUUUACCUUCUAACAUUUUAUCAAUUAGUUGAAAAAUCCUUUCUAAUUUAAAUUCUAGAGGUAACAAAUCAACACUAGGAAUAUAAGUAUGUUUAAUACUUUGUAAACCAAAGUAUAUGUUGUGUCUUUAAUACUAAUAUCUCUAUCUUAUGUUGAAGUUGAUAUAGAAGGCCUUGCCAUAUAACCAACAUCUAUAAGGUCAAAUAAUAAUAGAAAUUCCAAAUAAAUAUUAGGAUCUUCACAAAUACUUGAAUUAUUAAAAAAAAAAAAAAAAAUGGUGCUUUAUUUGAUAUAGAUGCUACAUUCUUAGCCAUAGUUUGGAUAUGUGUGGUAGCUCCAACUACCAUUUGUCCUAAUGCACCAAAUAUAUAAUUUUUAAAAGUAAAAAAACUUAUUUUAAUUCUAAAAUCUACUUAAGAUCCAUUUACUUAACUUAAUUAAGAUAUACUAUUAAAUCUCUUUUUUAAUUUAAUAAUUUUAUCUUCUAAAAUUAUUAUUUUAUCUAAAGUAAGUCACUUGUAUAGAUGUAAAAUGAAGCAAUUGUUUUCAUUGUGAUUGAGUUUAUCACAAUGAAUAUACUUCAAUUUUUUUUUAGAUUUAUUUCACAUUUUAGCCACUUUUGCUUUCAACUUAGACUUCUCCAUGUAUAAGGCUUUCUUCUUCUUAAAAUAAUUAGAAUUUAUUUUUGAAGUGACUAGAUUCACUAUACCUCCAAAAAUGUAUAGUCAUUUUUGUUUGAGUUUCAGCCAAGCUACUUGUGGUAGUUGUAACUUUCUUAGACCUAGACACAUUUAUCAUCCAAACAACUAUGUCAGUAGCAUUACACUGACAAAGGAUCCUAUCAUACUUCUCAACUUUGGCAAACGCUUGUACCAACAUUACCUUGCUAUUAUAGUUAAGAAUAAUUCUUAGUGUAGCUAAAUCAAGGAGUUUCUUAGUAAUCUUAGAUAAAAAAAAUCUUAAUAAGUUGGAUCUCAAUAAAUACACCUCUUGAUUCCAUUGAAAUUAAGUCAAAUAACUAUAUUGAUAUGUAGAAUGUCUUCUUUUUCAUAUUGCAAGUUUUGAAUGCAUUAUAUUUGAUCAUGCUUAAAACCUCCAUAUUUGUGCUUUAAGUUUUUAAUAAACAUUUGGAGAAGCUCAAAUUAUGGUGGCUCUUCUAUUGCAGAUAAAGCUAUCUUCAUCGCUUUAGUACUUUAUAAUGAAGCAAAUAGAGUAUUGUCUAAAGCCAUUAUUACUCCUCUUCCUAUAGAUUCUUUUAAAGAUGAUCUAAUUUCUAUUUUAAAUAAGUCUUUUUCUUUCACUAUAGGCAUUAUGCUUCAAAUAGUACCUUCUUUAAGAUUGAAAUAAGCUCUAUUCUUGACUUCUAAUAACACUCCAUCUUUUACAACUCAAGUAAGUGCUUCUCUUUUGGCCUUCUAUUAAUUUGAAGUACUUCAUGUUCCAAAUGUUGUGAUAAUAGUUCAAAAGCAUACCACUCAUUGAAAAUAGAAGAGCUUUGAGGUUUACUUUUUAUCUAUGUUUGGAACCUAAGCGUAUAAUCUAGCAAAGAAAUGCUUCUAAUUUAUAUUGAGAAUUAUUCUCUCACCAUGUUGUAAGGAUCUUCUUCCAUCUUAUAAAACAUAUUUGCACCCAAGUUCAAAAGUCUUCUAAUGGUAUCAAAUGUUGAAAUAGGCUGAAAAGCCUCAUCAAUAUCCAUUGUUGGCUUUAAGUCUUGGAUGUGGUUACUAUCCAAGUAGACUUAUGAAGAAGAUUGAUAAUAUUGAUUCUUAGUAUGUUCCAUAAAAAGAACUACAUAUGUAUGUAUAACUAUCUUAAAGCUAAAAUGGCAUCAUGUACCUACAACCAUUACCAAACUUUGUAGUUUAUUGAUAAUCACCUUUGAAUUAUUAUAGGUCCAAUAUAUUGACAAAUAAAAGGAUCUUGCUAGCCAUCAACCAAACAUCAUUCCUACAAUAUGCUUAUCAAUAUUAACUAAUAUAAAUAUAAAAUAGAAUAACCAUAGAAACUUCUAAAAAUAAUACGUACAAUCAUAAUAACAUACAAAAAAUAAAAUCUAAAAAUCUACACUUGAUCUUUAUUUUUAAUAAUACAGAAGCAAAAAUCAAAAGUAAAACUAGAGCAAUUUGCACUUGUUUGUAAUUGAUGGUUACAAAUUGCAGAACAUGUGACAAUAAAAUACAAUUGUAAUAAAAUAAAAUAUAGAAAAGUGAGAGAAAUCAAAAAAUCACUCAAAAAGCAAUUGGCAUCUAAUAAAUACCACUUCAUUACUCCAAAUGAUUUAUACUUUAAAAACCAAGAAUGCCAAUGGAUUUUUUAAGCCUCUUCUAUAUAAAAUUGACUCAAAAAUGGUCAAAUUUGGACUCCAUAUAUUUUAGGAAAGAACUUACAAACUUCACAAUUAAAAGAUUUAAACAAAUAUAUUUUUACUUUUUUACCUUUUUUUUUUUUGUAAGCCCUAUGAUCAUGCACUAGACCUUUAAUUGCUCAUGCCUAUAAUCAUGAGGUCUUAUAACUAUGCUUGUCCUUUACCAUGCCGAUUCCUCUGAUUGUUAUAGCUUAUAAUCGAUCAUUGGAUCCACUAGCCAUUUUAAUGUAAGAAAUUGCAGAGAAAGACAUUGCUAGCCACUGUUCAUUGCCACAAAUCCAAAUUAUAUUUUUUUGCACAAUUGUGCACAAUAUUACAUUGUAUCCAUGGUAUACAAUCUUACACAUAUAAAAUUAGCGUAAAUGUAAGUUCAUACUCAAACAACAACCUCCAGUUUGUCCAACACCAUUUUAGCAUCUUAGUAUUGCAAGAGCAAUUGUGAUGAUGUUGUGCCUAUGGACUUUUGUAAUUCAAUGCUUUUGUAUCACAUACUAGUACAACAAAAUCUUGCGAUUAUUCUUAUGCAUCAAUAACAUCCAAUGUCACUUCUAAAGUGUACCUAUGCUCUAUAAGAGCUCCCGCAACUUGCACUC